CAAAUUAGUUGCAAGAAAAUCCCAGCAAUUUAGGCCAAGCACGUAUUCAAGUACCUCACACAAAAUACCUAAAACCAACACGGCAUCGUGAUCCUCAGAAUUCUCUUGGAGGGCGUGACUCAAGUUGGAAUAUUUUGUUUUUCACCUUUGACCCUGCAAGGUAUGCUCCGACCCAACCUCGUCCCUAUCUCCCCAGUGGAAGUGCAUCUGAGAAAAUGUGUAGCGAUGAUGAAGUCCAGCCCCUGAUAAGCCUAAGGAAGAAGUGGGCUCUCUGAUGUUUCCAUUCAGUUGGACUUGAACUAGAAUAAAGUAGUAAACUGUUAAGUUGAGGUGUUUACAAGUGUGACCCCGAUUCGUAAAGAAGAAUCCCUUCUGACUCUGUUGGUACUGCGAGCUGAACCAAACCUUUGUGUACCCC